rnacentral:misc_RNA from 1 species
GAUGAAGAACGUAGCGAAAUGCGAUAAGUAAUGUGAAUUGCAGAAUUCAGUGAAUCAUCGAAUCUUUGAACGCACCUUGCGCCCUUUGGCCAUUCCGAAGGGCAUGCCUGUUUGAGUAUCAUGAACACCUCAACUCUUCAUGGUUUUCCGUGAUGAGCUUGGACUUUGGGGGUCUUGCUGGCCUAUGGUCAGCUCCUCUAAAAUAAAUCAGCUUGCCAGUGUUUGGUGGGUAUCACAGGUGUGAUAACUAUCUACGCUUGUGGUUUUCCACCAGGUAACCUUCAGCAGUGGAGGUUCGCUGGAGCUCACAGAUGUGUCUCUCCUUAGUGAGGACAGCUCUUUGAAUGUUUGAUCUCAAAUCAGGUAGGACUACCCGCUGAACUUAAGCAUAUCAAUAAGCGGAGGA